GACGAUUCUGGGCUGUGCUCAAGCUGCUUUCAGGACUCAGGAGGCCCUUAUCAGCUUCUGGAGCUUUAAAUAAAGGCCCACUGGGCUUGAGGCUUGAAGUGUCAUGAAGAAAGGCCUUCCACUGUUAUCCUAAAGAGAGUUCAUUUAUAUCUUCAGGGAGAUCCAAGCUGAAAGAGGGGCGGGUGAUGAAAAUUUGAAGAUGAGGAACCGCGAAACCCCGGAAGCUGGAGUUUGCAGUUAACAGAAGGUCAAGGCCAGGGUCAGAGUGCAAGGCGCCAGUCACGUUUGAGCUGAAGCUAAGAAGGGGCUUGAGCUCCUGGCAGGCAGCGGAGGCUCGGCCACAGAGCAGGGAGACACAGCAGAGCUGGCGACGUGGCCAACAACACGAGGGGAGAGCGUGGCUGGGAGGCGGCCCUGAGCCCAAGCGCGGUUCCCAUCGAGUCACAGCCUCCCAAGCCGCGAGGGCCAUGCUUACGGCUUGCCACUUGGGCCCCAAAUGCUGUCUAGUUGCCUUUCUGUCACCUGACUUUGAGUCACU